GCCAACUCAACCCCGUUGAACACACCCCCUCAAGUAAGCCCCUGCCGCCGCACGCCACCUUCCUCCCUUUCGGUUGUUUGAGUUUCAAACCCAUCUCUCUCUAAACUCUCACUAUUUCUCUCUCUCUCCCUCUCUCGGUGUCGCACCACCAUAGGGACCCCCCAAUCACGUCGCCGGUCGCUUCUAGCCACCUAGAGCCGCCGACGCACUCUGCUCUCCCUCGGUGAGCAUCGCACAGCUCUCUCUCCCGUAAGCCUUUUUUUCUUUUUUAUCCCAUU